GAUCAAAGCUACAAUGGGCUUGGCUGCCCUUCUCCAGGAAUGGCCAGAGGACAACUUCUGCUUGGAAAGUUCCUGGAUACUUCUGGAACAGAAUUCUCCUGGGGUGAGUGGUUCACACAACUGACCCACUUCAUCCCCACUCAGCAAAAUGAGAGCGCCGUUGACUGACAACAAAAUGCUGAACUGGAAACCUCCGCAGUAAAACGUGAUGCAGAACAGAGAAAGAACUAAGAUGUUCUGCACAGACGGUAUCAUGCCCUCUAUGAGGAAACUACUCGAGCAUAUCUGUGUUUCAAAUGAUGUCUUUGAACUAUUUAUGUUAAAUGCCCCCCCAAAAAAAUGGAAAGGCUUCUUCGUAGAGGAAAGAGCUUGAAGUUGCUAGGCUGUUCUGCCUUCAACAGGCAUUUAUUGUGCAGCUACAAAAUGCUGCACCAAGCACUGGGCAGUGGAAAGGUGAUUCAGACACAGUUCCUUUGACAAAACCUCAAAAUCCCAUGUGAAGUUCUCUUUUAUAAAGUAAAUCAGAAAAGAUUCAAAAGUUGAGGUACCAAAAAAAAAUAAUAUAAAUGCAAGUAGUAAAGCGCUAUUGACUGUAAAUAGAAGCACUUAAUAAGUGGUUGUUGUUUCUGUUCUUCUCUCUAAUAAGUGUAUACAGGUGGCUAAAUGCUUUUGUUGAGCUAUGAGUACCUCAUUCUGUGGAGUGACUCAGAAAGUCUCUAGGUGUUAGACUGGAAACAGGUGAUGUUCAGUGCACGCAAUGCUUGAAGUGUUCCCAGGUAUUUAGUUUCAGGUAAAUUUUACUGUUUAAAAAAAUUGUUUUUACUUGCUAUUAAGUGUGUUGACCUUGGAUAAUUUACUUAACCUCUCUAUGCCUUGCUUCCUUUUCUGCAAAAUGAGAGUAAGAAAAGUGCUUACCUCAUUGGCUUUUUGUGAAAUUCAAUGAGUUAACACGUGGGAGAAAAGAUGUUUUUAAAUAAUCAAUUCUUAGCAGUUGGUCAUUGUUAUGAGUUACAUCAUGCGUAGUUAAAUAUUUUUUAAAAAAUUAAAAUUUAUUUUCCUAUAGG
rnacentral:lncRNA from 1 species